rnacentral:RNase_P_RNA from 1 species
AGAGUGGACUGGAUGGCCGCUGGCCGAGGCCGGAUGCGUCGCCAUAUCGACGCCCCUGCGGCCUCGGCGAGAGGAAAGUCCGGGCUCCGCAGGACACGGUGGUGGGUAACGCCCACCGGCCGCAAGGCCAGGGAAAGUGCAACAGAGAGCAGACCGCCUCACAGGGUUCCCCCUGUGCGGUAAGGGUGAAACGGUGAGGUAAGAGCUCACCAGCAGGCCGGGUGACCGGCCUGGCUAGGCAAACCCCACCGGGAGCAAGGUCAAGCAGGGAGCAGCGGCUGGGGUGAAGCCCAGGUGGUUUCGCCCGCCCGCGGGCUGGUCCGGCCCGCUAUCGACUCCCGGGUGGACCGCUCGAGGUGCCGAGCAAUCGGCAUCCUAGAUAAAUGGCCAUCGCCCGCCCGGUUUCGUCCGGACGGGAACAGAACCCGGCUUACAGGUCCGCUCGCGUC